ACAAAACAAAACAGAACGUGAUUUUAGAAUAUUGUGUUUGCAUAUAAAAUAGUUAUAUACUUAAAAGGAUAUCUCUGCAAGUUGUUUUGACUUCCACGAGGUCCUUUGGUGAUUACAACUAAAGAUAUUACAUAUAUUAAAAACAACUUUUGGGAAAGGGAAUAGAUAUUUAGAAAAGACACAGUAUGUAAAGUGGGGAUAGAGAAAGAAAAAAAAAAGAUUUUGAGAGGAGCAGAGAGUAGGGACAGCGUGAAGACUUCACAGUGUUAGAAGAAGAGAAGGAAGUAGGAUCAGAAAUCUGCAUGCAGUGGAGGUCCUGCAAGGGCGCAUCUUUGGAGAAGUAAGAGAAGAGGAAAAGCUCAGACAUUCAUAUUAUGAACUUUUGGAACAUAGGAAAUUUGGGUAAGAGCUCUUAGUUGUGUGUUGUACUUUUCUUGGGCAUUUCUGUGAUUGAGGUUAGUUAGGAAAAUUUUAAGAUCAUUAGAAACUACAUUGUAGAGGUGGAAAAGCUGAGUGAAAGUCUAAGUUAAAAGACUGAGGUAAUCUGUAAAACAAUUUAGGUUUGGAAAUUGAUUUAAUUUUGAAGCUAUCCCUUAGAGCACUAAUUUAAUAUUUUAUUUUUACUCUAGAUCUUACAAAUUUGGCUCAUUAGCAUCAGAGGACAACUUCUGUUUCAGCUGCUCAAGAAGUCAGUGAGUAAAAUGAUGGAGAGUAUAGCAAGUUUAUAAAUUAUCUUAUUAUAACUGAUAUAUCUUCUUAUUACCACAAAGUGAGAUAAAAUCAUUGUUCAACUAUUUUAUGAUUUAUGACUUGGGAUAUGUGGUGAAAUUACUGAUGUUAUAGUUCAAUGGUUGUCUAAACCAUUUUACUAACGUGCUAAGUAGACUGAUUACAUAUUUUUCUGAAAGAGGAAGAAGAUCUCUUAGAACCUGUAGCUAAUGAUAGUAAACAUUAGCCUUGGUUCACCGUGUUGUAUGUUCGGGCGGGAAGCUCGACUAUGAUUUGUUUAGGCGGGGAGCCUGUUAUGAAUUAUAUGUCCAGGCGGGGAGCCUGCUGUUUAUUUUCUUGGCGGGGAGCCUGCAAUUGACUCUUCAGGCGGGGAGCCUUCUAUUGGUAAUUUGAGGCGGGGAGCCUGCUAUUGAUUCUUUUAGGCGGGGAGCCUAUGUCGACAUGGUUAAAGAUUCUGUUUACAAGCAGAGAGUUUGUUUUUGUUCUUUUAUUUGAGUAAUAGCUUACUUAGUUGUGUAUAAUAUGAUUUGUAUGCAAUGAUUUGGAUGAGACCAAGAAUAUCUUUCCUCAUAACAUUAAUUUAAUUCUGCUUGUUUUCUUUAUUCUCUAGUAUUUACUCACUAAUUAUGAGGUGACUUACCUUGUCUGUUGUUUUCUUUUAUCAAUUCAGGUAAUCAGGCUCGUGUUGAACCAACCACAUCCUCUAGACAGUCGACUUAGGAUCCUUCAUGAGGCCCUUCUGCUAAAAGGGCUACUAGUGUUGUUGUGUCUGACCCAUGUUAUUGAGUUAAAACUUGUUUUGUAAAUGUCACUUUAACUUGUGCGUUGUUUUUACGUAGUGGCUCUAAUAUGUGGUCUACUAGAACCUUUAUUAUAUAGCCUUGGUCCUAUAUAGCUUUGGGAGGCUUUGUUUUGAACUUGCUGCUAUCAUUUUGUUAUUACAGGCUCUUAUAAUAUUUUGGAUAGUUCAUAUUUUAGGGGAGACCCUGCCGAAUUUUCUAUAGAAAAUUCCUUGAAGCAUAAAUAUGUCA